CCUGGGAACCCUGGCUCUUCAGCUCCAACUGAAGGUAAGGGAGCUGUGCCUGUCUGGCUCCCAACCAGGAAGGAGCCAUUCCCGCUGACCACUGGGUCUCCUUAGGGAUCUGAGAACUCAGUGGUUGACUGCAAGGUCACUGAGCAAGGUCAGGGCACAUCACCAGGACAUUGGGAUGUUACCUGGACAAUGGCCUUCCAUGUGGAUGGUGUGGACACAGAAGUGGACGCCCACCUUUCCCACAGCGAGGGUCAACCCCUUCUGCUACAGGACAUGCCAACCCCGGCCUAGCCACUGCAUUUCUGGGUUGAGGUAAGGGGGUACAAAUUCUGUUCUCAAAGAGAUCUUUGUGGUGCUGUGUCAGGACUGCCCAGCACACCUCCAGACCACAAGGUUUACAUUGAGGCAGUGUCCUUUAUAGAAGCAGACCCCUCCUGCAAACUGACGAGCUCUUCAUCGCCGUAAGGUGUCAUCAGGAGGCCAGUGGGCUCUUUCAGGCCAGAAAGGGGUUACGGGGCAAGGCUGGAGGCCCAAAACGGUGGGCUGUGGGCAGGAGGGCGGCGAGAGUGGCUCCUACGCUGACUCUGCUCCCGACACCAGCGCUCCAGACCUGCGGACCCACCUCCACAAGCUCCCCACCCUGGAGCCACUGAGGACAUCUUUAGAGCGGGCAGGCCAAACCCAAAUCCAGACUCUGGCUCAGAACAGGUUGGAAGAACAACCCCUCCUCUUCGUUCCCCUGAGGGGAAUGAGGGACAGAGAGCAGGGCCUCAGGUUCCUCAUUUACAAAGUGGUAGCAAGAAUAUUGACCUCGUGGAGCUGUCGUGCUUAAGCGGCAGUGUUUACACCUGCUUUACCCAUGUUCAUUAACACUGGGAGCAGUAGGUACCGUGUUACCUGUUUUACAGGGAGCCGGGGCUGAGGCAAAGAAGGGGAGUCAAGUACCAAGUCCAUUGGCACAGAAGGCAGCAGGGGACACGCUCCACGAGGGUGCCUGUCCGCCCACCUCCUUCUCCGCACUUCAGAGGCCUCGGCUGUUCUCCGGCUGCACCUGGCAGCUUCCCUUCCUGUGAAGCGGGCAGCCGAAGCCAUCUGGACCAGGAGGCAAAUGAACAUCACACGACACAUGCCUUAUGGGAACGGAUGCCUGCAAGUUCCCUGACUGACAGUCAGGAGCGGGGACUUCCUUGCAGUUGUCAGAGCAUCUGUUCCUGACCCCCUGGUGACUUUCGGGUUUCCCUCUGUGACUAAGACACCCAGUGGAAGACUUGGGCAAAAAAGGGGAAAAACACCAUCCCGCUCCUUCUGAGUCAGCCUUCCAACGGCAGAGUUUUGGGCUCCAGCCCAGACUUACUGGCUACAAAUUUGCAUUUUAACAAGCUCUCCAGUGAGUCAUACACACUCGAGUUUGAGAAGCAUUGGUUCUCUCUCUGCUCUGUCAUCAUUUCUCUGAGCAGCGGCAUCCAAACUUUUUUGAUCCCAAACCACUACCUCCCAAUAAGAUAUUUCCUUAGUUGUAAAUUACAUACACGUCCUACCGCACGGAUCUAUUACAUACAUUAUAAAACUUAAAAAGUAGGAAUUAAAAAGGAUGAGUUAAAAAUAAGGAGAAAGAGAAGCUGUAAUAUUUUCUUCCUGCACACAAAGUAAUGCUUUCGGGGCCAAGGAGAGACCCGAGGCCUACCCCCCUCUCUCAGCAGCUGGAUUACAGGAUCGGCAAAUGGUCCAAGACGUCACUCAAGAUAAGGUGACGCUCGAGCUACAGAGGUUUCAAGUUGCUUCUAGGCAUGCCAUGCCUCCCGUUUUGGGACAAGUGUCUAUUUCUGGAGCUUUAGUAGGAGAAUGAUUAUUGGUUAUUUUGUGUCAACACCCUCAAGAGGACACCUCCAAGGCAGCCUGAGGAACAGAGACAAAGGCCCAAGAUUAACAUCAAAAAUCCCGCCGGAAGAUGCUCUGUACCUGUACCUAUCGACAAGUCUAACCCCUACCCGCUGCCGACAACUCGAAUGACGUGGCCCAGUUCUGAGCUGCCUUCAUGCCCCAUUUCACUAAAAUUAAGAUCUGCUUGUACAGACGAAUGGAUAAAGAAGAUGUGGUACAUAUAUACAAUGGAAUACUACUCAGCUGCAAAACAGAACAAAAUCAUUCCAUUUGCAAUAACAUGGAUGGACCUUGAGAGAAUUAUGUU